rnacentral:rRNA from 1 species
UACAGAGGUCUCAAGCGUUGUUCGGAUUCAUUGGGCGUAAAGGGUGCGUAGGUGGCGCGGUAAGUCGGGUGUGAAAUUUCGGAGCUUAACUCCGAAACUGCAUUCGAUACUGCCGUGCUUGAGGACUGGAGAGGAGACUGGAAUUUACGGUGUAGCAGUGAAAUGCGUAGAGAUCGUAAGGAAGACCAGUGGCGAAGGCGGGUCUCUGGACAGUUCCUGACACUG